rnacentral:rRNA from 1 species
UGGGGAAUCUUCCGCAAUGGACGAAAGUCUGACGGAGCAACGCCGCGUGAGUGAAGAAGGUUUUCGGAUCGUAAAACUCUGUCUUUUGGGGCGAACGUGAGUAUGGUAAAUAAUCAUAGUCAGUGACGGUACCAAAGGAGGAAGCCACGGCUAACUACGUGCCAGCAGCCGCGGUAAUACGUAGGUGGCAAGCGUUGUCCGGAAUUAUUGGGCGUAAAGAGCGCGUAGGCGGGAUAGUCAGUCUGUUGUAAAAGUGCGGGCUCAACCCCGUGAUCGCAAUGGAAACAGCUAUUCUUGAGUGCAGGAGAGGAAAGUGGAAUUCCCAGUGUAGCGGUGAAAUGCGUAGAUAUUGGGAGGAACACCAGUGGCGAAGGCGACUUUCUGGACUGUGUCUGACGCUGAGGCGCG